GUCUUUUGUCGACGGGAAUGCAAGCCAUGUGACAACAGUAAUGGCGUAUGAGAAGGCGCCUCAGCGACCAUGAGGACGGCAAAUUUAUAAACAGCGGGAAUGUGUUCUCAAAUAAUUGGACAUCAGACAGAUUUUCUUUUCCCGAUAUUACUACGUACAUGGGAGGAAUAGACGGAAGCUGCCGUGAUUUUAAACAUGAUUUUGGUGAUGACAAGCCGAUGAUGACAGAACAAUUAUCUUGGUUCUCUCACUGGGCAGUGCUCGUUAUCACCGUUAGCCAUCACAGUCAGUGUUGUUGAUAUAAAACACAUCUAUAUUACUCAGGAAUUUCGGUACAGCAUUCGUCACCUAUACAGUACUUGCCGUUGACAAUGUCAGUCAGCAUGAGUAGACUUGCAUUCCGACCUCCUACCGUUUGACCCAAGACACUCGAAUUGACAUAGAUGAAGAAGCAGAAGGUGGAUAAAAGGACCCAUGAAAAGAACACAAGGAUCAAUCAAGAGAACAAAAAGAAUAUCUCUCUGCAACUAACCUGUUGUCGACCAAGACUUCAACCUCGUUUAAUUCGAGCGAUUCCCGCCAAGUUCAUCCUGAGCCAUGAUUGGAAGUAUAGAUACAUGUAGGCAUGCGCUCAAGUACACAUCACCAUCCAUACAGCCUGGUCAGCGAGGACAGGAACAAAGUUUACCGUCUUUGUAAAGGUUAUAAACUACCGUUUGUUACCGUUUCUGACAAAGCUAAACUAUUAGUUAUUACUCUCAAUAUUCAUCUUUGAAGGUCAGGCCCACCCCAGAAAAUGUAAAUUUGAAUUAAUAUAGUCAUGCAAAAGAGAGAGUCAAUGAUGUCCCUAUCUCACUAUUUCUCUCUUUUUUAUCGUUUUAAUUACAAAAGUAUUCUAAUUUUUACAAAUUUGACAUGAAGGACCAACUCUACUGAACCAUAAAAUAUUAAAAUAAUGGCAGUACCAGGAUAGUAGACCGGCCAAAACGAUUUUUUAUACUUUGGACGGCAAAAUGUGUUAAUGCUUGCUAAUGCUUGGCAUCCCAGCUAAUAGUCUUGCAAAAAUACCCAGGAAUAGCGUACGGCCGGAUGCCAAGCGCAAUUUUGCGUGAAAGUGUCAUUUUUAGC